GACGAACGCUGGCGGUGUGCUUAACACAUGCAAGUCGAACGGUAAGGCCCUUUCGGGGGUACACGAGUGGCGAACGGGUGAGUAACACGUGAGUAACCUGCCCUCAUCUCUGGGAUAACAGUCGGAAACGGUUGCUAAUACUGGAUAUGAGCUUGCAAGGCAUCUUGUGGGUUGGAAAGAUUUUUUUUGGUUGGGGAUGGACUCGCGGCCUAUCAGCUUGUUGGUGAGGUAGUGGCUCACCAAGGCUUCGACGGGUAGCCGGCCUGAGAGGGCGACCGGCCACAUUGGGACUGAGAUACGGCCCAAACUCCUACGGGAGGCAGCAGUGGGGAAUAUUGCACAAUGGACGGAAGUCUGAUGCAGCAACGCCGCGUGCGGGAUGACGGCCUUCGGGUUGUAAACCGCUUUCAAUUGUGACGAAGCGUUUUUGUGACGGUAGCAGUAGAAGAAGCACCGGCUAACUACGUG
rnacentral:rRNA from 1 species